UCCGAGGCUCCUGUGCCACGCACCCUCCCCCCUGCGGGGCGACCCCGCGUAUGCGUGUGUGUGUCACGCGUUUAAUCGCACAGAGUAAUUCCCAGACGUGCAAGACAAAGCAUUUCAAGCAAAGAUGGUCCAGAGUUCAAAUUGGAAAGCACAUCUCGAGGCGCUGAAUCUGUUCUCGCCGUCUGCCUCGGUCUCUGGGGCGUCGCAUCCAGGAGAAGGGUUUUAACUCCCUGCCAGAUCCGCUCGGAAUUAGCUCUUCUGGCGGUGCAGCAACAAGUGGCCCCGCCGCCUCCCUUGUGCACUCGGAGGGACUACAUCCUCCUCCUCUCCCAGCCCCUAGUCCAAACGGGAGUAGGUAAUGGCGGGGAAAGGGGGAGGUGACGAGAGCGGGGAGAAGGAAGUACAUAUUUUUUAAUUGUGAAAUUGUCUGUCUGCGUGCUGUGCUCUGGGAUUCUCUUGUCUCAAUCAACUUCAAUUUUAACGUGGCCGUAACGUUAAGAUUAAGACCUAGAAAUGAAAACGUACCCACCUUUCUUAUUACAAAGGUC
ensembl:lncRNA novel transcript